rnacentral:rRNA from 1 species
UACGGAGGGUGCGAGCGUUGUCCGGAAUCACUGGGCGUAAAGGGCGCGUAGGCGGCCUGGUAAGUAGGGGGUGAAAUCCUGCGGCUUAACCGCAGGGCUGCCUUCUAAACUGUCAGGCUCGAGCACGGUAGAGGCAGAUGGAAUUCCCGGUGUAGCGGUGGAAUGCGUAGAGAUCGGGAAGAACAUCAGUGGCGAAGGCGGUCUGCUGGGCCGUUGCUGACGCUGAGGCGCGACAGCGUGGGGAGAAAACAGG